rnacentral:rRNA from 1 species
AACGACUCUCGGCAACGGAUAUCUCGGCUCUCGCAUCGAUGAAGAACGUAGCGAAAUGCGAUACUUGGUGUGAAUUGCAGAAUCCCGUGAACCAUCGAGUUUUUGAACGCAAGUUGCGCCCGAAGCCAUCCGGCUGAGGGCACGUCUGCCUGGGUGUCACGCA